GAAUAUUGGACAAUGGGCGCAAGCCUGAUCCAGCCAUGCCGCGUGAGUGAUGAAGGCCCUAGGGUUGUAAAGCUCUUUCACCGGUGAAGAUAAUGACGGUAACCGGAGAAGAAGCCCCGGCUAACUUCGUGCCAGCAGCCGCGGUAAUACGAAGGGGGCUAGCGUUGUUCGGAAUUACUGGGCGUAAAGGGCUCGUAGGCGGCCAACUAAGUCGGAUGUGAAAUCCCCAGGCUCAACCUGGGAACUGCAUCCGAUACUGGAUGGCUUGAAUCCGGGAGAGGGAUGCAGAAUUCCAGGUGUAGCGGUGAAAUGCGUAGAUAUCUGGAGGAAUACCGGUGGCGAAGGCGGCAUCCUGGACCGGCAUUGACGCUGAGGCGCGAAAGCCAGGGGAGCAAACGGG
rnacentral:rRNA from 1 species